GAGCAAGGGGGCGGAUGUAGCCAAGUGGAUCAAGGCAGUGGAUUGUGAAUCCCCCAUGCCC
rnacentral:tRNA from 1 species